rnacentral:tRNA from 1 species
GUUUCCGUAGUGUAGCGGUUAUCACGUUAAGCCUCACGCGAAAGGUCCCCAGUUCGAAACUGGGCGGAAACA